rnacentral:rRNA from 1 species
GACGAACGCUGGCGGCGUGCCUAAUACAUGCAAGUAGAACGCUGAAGAGAGGAGCUUGCUCUUCUUGGAUGAGUUGCGAACGGGUGAGUAACGCGUAGGUCACCUGCCUUGUAGCGGGGGAUAACUAUUGGAAACGAUAGCUAAUACCGCAUAACAAUGGAUGACACAUGUCAUUUAUUUGAAAGGGGCAAUUGCUCCACUACAAGAUGGCCCUGCGUUGUAUUAGGUAGUAGGUGAGGUAAUGGCUCACCUAGGCGACGAUACAUAGCCGACCUGCGAGGGUGGUCGGCCACACUGGGACUGUGACACGGCCCAGAGGCCCUCGGGAGGCAGCAGUAGGGAAUCGUCGGCAAUGGGGGGAACCCUGACCGAGCAACGCCGCGUGAGUGAAGAAGGGUGUCGGAUCGUAAAGCUCUGUUGUAAGUCAAGAACGGGUGUGAGAGUGGAAAGUUCACACUGUGACGGUAGCUUACCAGAAAGGGACGGCUAACUACGUG